UACAGAGGGUGCAAGUGUUAAUCGGAAUUACUGGGCGUAAAGCGCAUGCAGGUGGGACAAUAAGUUUGAUGUGAAAUCCCUGGGCUUAACCUGGGAAUGGCGUUGAAGACUGUUGUACUAGAGUUUGACAGAGGGUCGUGGAAUUUCCGGUGUAGCGGUGAAAUGCGUAGAGAUCGGAAAGAACACCAGUGGCGAAGGCGGCGACCUGGGUCUAAACUGACACUGAGGUGCGAAAGCGUGGGGAGCAAACGGG
rnacentral:rRNA from 1 species